CAGAGCAUCAUGCCCCCCGGGGUAGAUCUCCCACCCUUUGUCUUCUUACUCUUGUUGCUUUGGCGGGCCGCCUCGGCCACCGGCUCCGGCUGGUGCGUGCCCGCCAGAGGAAACCCAACUCUGCGUGUUAGUGUCGUCUGAGUACUAUGUAAUAGUUA
rnacentral:misc_RNA from 1 species